ACGGUACCGUAAGAAGAAGCACCGGCUAACUACGUGCCAGCAGCCGCGGUAAUACGUAGGGUGCGAGCGUUAAUCGGAAUUACUGGGCGUAAAGCGUGCGCAGGCGGUGAUGUAAGACAGAUGUGAAAUCCCCGGGCUCAACCUGGGAACUGCGUUUGUGACUGCAUCACUCGAGUACGGCAGAGGGAGGUGGAAUUCCACGUGUAGCAGUGAAAUGCGUAGAGAUGUGGAGGAACACCGAUGGCGAAGGCAGCCUCCUGGGCCAGUACUGACGCUCAUGCACGAAAGCGUGGGGAGCAAACAGGAUUAGAUACCCUGGUAGUCCACGCCCUAAACGAUGUCAACUAGUUGUUCGGUGAGGAGACUCAUUGAGUAACGCAGCUAACGCGUGAAGUUGACCGCCUGGGGAGUACGGCCGCAAGGUUAAAACUCAAAGGAAUUGACGGGGACCCGCACAAGCGGUGGAUGAUGUGGAUUAAUUCGAUGCAACGCGAAAAACCUUACCUACCCUUGACAUGCCAGGAACUUGCCAGAGAUGGCUUGGUGCUCGAAAG
rnacentral:rRNA from 1 species